rnacentral:tRNA from 1 species
GCGGGAGUAGCUCAGUUGGUAGAGCACUAGCCUUCCAAGCUUGUGGUCGCGGGUUCGAGUCCCGUCUCCCGCCCCA